rnacentral:misc_RNA from 1 species
GAUGAAGAACGCAGCGAAAUGCGAUACGUAAUGUGAAUUGCAAAUUCAGUGAAUCAUCGAGUCUUUGAACGCACAUUGCGCCCCCUGGUAUUCCGGGGGGCAUGCCUGUCCGAGCGUCAUUGCUGCCCUCAAGCACGGCUUGUGUGUUGGGCCCCGUCCUCCGAUCCCGGGGGACGGGCCCGAAAGGCAGCGGCGGCACCGCGUCCGGUCCUCGAGCGUAUGGGGCUUUGUCACCCGCUCUGUAGGCCCGGCCGGCGCUUGCCGAUCAACCCAAAUUUUUGUCCAGGUUGACCUCGGAUCAGGUAGGGAUACCCGCUGAACUUAAGCAUAUCAAUAAGCGGGGA